rnacentral:misc_RNA from 1 species
CAACCCUGACGUUUACGAAUACUAAUGAUGACAUGUAAUUGUAAAUAUUCCUUUAUUCAGGUAAUUGCAUUCUUGGUCUCGAAAUCGAAGACAGUCAGAGGAUCAGAGGCGACAGUCUUCAGGUAUUUGCAAUUUUCGGGCCUGGACAAUAAAUCCAAGCAACUGCGAAGUUACGUGUCAGUCUUAUUUUAAUAUGGAUACAGCGUCU